rnacentral:rRNA from 1 species
AGUGAACGCUGGCGGUAGGCCUAACACAUGCAAGUCGAACGGCAGCACAGUAAGAGCUUGCUCUUACGGGUGGCGAGUGGUGGACGGGUGAGGAAUACAUCGGAAUCUACUUUUUCGUGGGGGAUAACGUAGGGAAACUUACGCUAAUACCGCAUACGACCUACGGGUGAAAGCAGGGGAUCUUCGGACCUUGCGCGAUUGAAUGAGACGAUGUCGGAUUAGCUAGUUGGCGGGGUAAAGGCCCACCAAGGCGACGAUCCGUAGCUGGUCUGAGAGGAUGAUCGGCCACACUGGAACUGGGACACGGUCCAGACUCCUACGGGAGGCAGCAGUGGGGAAUAUUGGACAAUGGGCGCAAGCCUGAUCCAGCCAUACCGCGUGGGUGAAGAAGGCCUUCGGGUUGUAAAGCCCUUUUGUUGGGAAAGAAAAGCAGCAGGUUAAUACCCCGCUGUUCUGACGGUACCCAAAGAAUAAGCACCGGCUAACUUCGUG